rnacentral:rRNA from 1 species
GUCCGUAUGAAAAAAGUAUACGGUCUAGCCUGCCCACUGAUUUUUUAAAGGGCCGCGGUAAUUUGACCGUGCGAAGGUAGCAUAAUCAGUAGCCUUUUAAUUGAAGGCUUGAAUGAAUGGUUGGAUGAGAGAAAGACUGUCUCUUUGUUAUAAAAAGAAUUUAACUUUUAAGUGAAAAGGCUUAAAUUAUUUAGAGGGACGAUAAGACCCUAUAAAACUUGAUAUAAGUUGGCUAGAGUCUGCAGAUAUAGUGUAAAGAGAUUUUAUUUAGUUUAUAUUUCGUUGGGGAGAUGAAGAUAAAACAGUAACUGUCUAGAAAAUAUAAUAAUGUUAAUUAGAGUUUGAUCCUUUAUGUAGGGAUUAUAAGAAUAAGUUACUUUAGGGAUAACAGCGUAAUUUUCUCUGAGAGUCCUUAUCGACGAGAGUAGUUGCGACCUCGAUGUUGAAUUAAAAUUUCAGUUAGGUGUAGUCGUUUAACUGGUAGGUCUGUUCGACCUUUAAAAUUUU